AUACGUAGGGAGCGAGCGUUGUCCGGAAUUACUGGGCGUAAAGGGCGCGUAGGCGGCGCUUCAAGUCGUCUGUCAAAUGGGAGGGCUUAACCCUUUUUCGCAGACGAAACUGGAGAGCUUGAGAAGCAGAGAGGCAAACAGAAUUCCUGGUGUAGCGGUGAAAUGCGUAGAUAUCAGGAAGAAUACCAGUGGCGAAGGCGGUUUGCUGGCUGCAUACUGACGCUGAAGCGCGAAAGCCAGGGGAGCAAACGGGAUUAGAUACCCCGGUAGUCCUGGCAGUAAACGAUGUAUGCUGGGUGUGAGGCUAGCGAUAGUUUCGUGCCGAAGUUAACGCGAUAAGCAUACCGCCUGGGGAGUACGGUCGCAAGAUUGAAACUCAAAGGAAUUGACGGGG
rnacentral:rRNA from 1 species